rnacentral:rRNA from 1 species
GAAGUUUGAUCAUGGCUCAGAACGUACGCUGGCGGCACGCCUAACACAUGCAAGUCGAACGAAGUAGCAAUACUUAGUGGCAGACGGGUGAGUAACAUGUAGGUAUCUUCCCUUUGGCCUGGAAUAACACGAGGAAACUUGUGCUAAUACUGGAUAAGUCUUUACGGAGAAAGCUUUAUGCACCAUUGGAUGAGCCUGCACUUGAUUAGUUAGUUGGUAAGGUAAUGGCUUACCAAGACUUUGAUCAAUAGCUGAUUUGAGAGGAUGAUCAGCCACAUUGGGACUGAGACACGGCCCAAACUCCUACGGGAGGCAGCAGUGGGGAAUCUUGCACAAUGGAGGAAACUCUGAUGCAGCGAUGCCGCGUGAGUGAAGAAGGCCCUUGGGUUGUAAAGCUCUUUCGUCGGGGAAGAAAAUGACUGUACCCGAAUAAGAAGGUCCGGCUAACUUCGUGCCAGCAGCCGCGGUAAUACGAAGGGACCUAGCGUAGUUCGGAAUUACUGGGCUUAAAGAGUUCGUAGGUGGUUGAAAAAGUUGGUGGUGAAAUCCCAGAGCUUAACUCUGGAACUGCCAUCAAAACUUUUCAGCUAGAGUUUGAUAGAGGAAAGUAGAAUUUCUAGUGUAGAGGUGAAAUUCGUAGAUAUUAGAAAGAAUUCCAAUUGCGAAGGCAGCUUUCUGGAUCAUUACUGACACUGAGGAACGAAAGCAUGGGUAGCGAAGAGGAUUAGAUACCCUCGUAGUCCAUGCCGUAAACGAUGUGUGUUAGACGUUGGAAAUUUAUUUUCAGUGUCGCAGCGAAAGCAAUAAACACACCGCCUGGGGAGUACGACCGCAAGGUUAAAACUCAAAUGAAUUGACGGGGACCCGCACAAGUAGUGGAGCAUGUGGUUUAAUUCGAAGAUACGCGCAGAACCUUACCAACACUUGACAUGUUCGUCGCGACUUUAAGAGAUUAA